GUCUUCUAGUUUGUUAUUGGAAGUCUGACCUGCCCGGUGAUUUAUUUUAACGGCCGCGGUAUAUUGACCGUGCAAAGGUAGCAUAAUCAUUAGUCUUUUAAUAGGGGACUGGUAUGAAGGGUUUGACGAGGAGUUGACUGUCUCAUUUUAAUUUUUUGAAUUUGACUUUUUAGUUAAAAGGCUUGAAAAUGUUGUUGGUAGACGAGAAGACCCUAUAGAGCUUUACAUUCAAUAUUAUUUUAUUUUUUUUGUUUUAUUUAAAAUUAUUUUUUUUUGUUUGUUUUAUUGGGGCGAUAUUUGAAUAUGAAUAACUUCUUUUUUUUUUUCAUUGAUUUAUGUGUUUUUGAUCCGUUUUAUUUGACGAUUAUUAGAUUAAGUUACCUUAGGGAUAACAGCGUAAUCCUUUUUUGGAGUUCUUAUUUGCAAAAGGGUUUGCGACCUCGAUGUUGGAUUAAGAUGACUAUUUGGUGCAGUUGCUUAAUUAGUAGGUCUGUUCGACCUUUAAAUUCUUACAUGAUCUGAGUUCAAACCGG
rnacentral:rRNA from 1 species